rfam:Vibrio sp. J237 Contig_12, whole genome shotgun sequence.
GCGUUCUUGUCGGGGUGCCCUAAUUGAGGGGCUGAGAUUGGCAUAUUGCCGGAUCCCGUUGAACCUGAUCAGGUUAAGGCCUGCGUAGGGAACAAGAUGUCCUCAUCA